rfam:Salmo salar isolate Sally breed double haploid chromosome ssa03, whole genome shotgun sequence.
UGCAAUCACUACUGUAAGUCGCUCUGGAUAAGAGCGUCUGCUAAAUGACUAUAA